CCUACGGGGUGCAGCAGUGGGGAAUAUUGGGCAAUGGGCGCAAGCCUGACCCAGCAACGCCGCGUGAAGGAAGAAGGCUCUCGGGUUGUAAACUUCUUUUAUCAGGGACGAAGCAAGUGACGGUACCUGACGAAUAAGCCACGGCUAACUACGUGCCAGCAGCCGCGGUAAUACGUAGGUGGCAAGCGUUAUCCGGAUUUACUGGGUGUAAAGGGCGUGUAGGCGGGAAAGCAAGUCAGAUGUGAAAACCAUGGGCUCAACCUGUGGCCUGCAUUUGAAACUGGUUUUCUUGAGUACUGGAGAGGCAGGCGGAAUUCCAGGUGUAGCGGUGAAAUGCGUAGAGAUUAGGAGGAACACCAGUGGCGAAGGCGGUCUGCUGGACAGCAACUGACGCUGAGGCGCGAAAGCGUGGGGAGCAAACAGGAUUAGAUACCCCAGUAGUC
rnacentral:rRNA from 1 species